rnacentral:lncRNA from 1 species
GGGCGCCUGCUUCAGUAGUACACCCCGACCCUCGAGCUCGGGGCGCUCCACCAAGCACACCUCAUAACUCGGGGAGCCGAGCUACCCCCAGCACUCGUCUGACCGACCUCGCCAAACGCAUGAUGCGACCUCUCAACGAGGUCGGCCUCGCCAACAGCCGCGCCCAUGAGGGCGCCCAUGCCCUCCUACGUGGCCGUACAUUGCGACGCCACCGCACCACACUUCGAUAGCCGGCCCUCAACAGUCAAAGGACGGCAACAUGACUACUCCAGCCAUACCCUACUACGAAUGUCAACAUCUUACCGUUCUUGAGAACGGAUGGCACCACAUGCCACCAGCCAGCCUUAGCUGCGCGCCAUUCGGCUCAGAGCCACACCC